rnacentral:rRNA from 1 species
AGUAAUAUUUAAACAAUCUUCCCUCGAGUGGGAAACAACCUGACGAAAGUCGGGCUAAUGUCCCAUAAGACCACAUUCUGGCAUCAGAGAGAGGUCAAAGGUCCGCAAGGGCCGCUGGAGGAGGAGUUUAAAUCCUAUCAUGGUAGUUGGUGAGGUAACGGCUCACCAAGCCUACGACGGGUAGCCGGCCUGAAAGGGUGAUCGGCCACACUGGCACUGAGACACGGGCCAG